rnacentral:rRNA from 1 species
UACGGAGGGCGCGAGCGUUGUUCGGAAUCACUGGGCGUAAAGCGCGUGUAGGCGGCCGGGCAAGUCGGAUGUGAAAUCCCGAGGCUCAACCUCGGAACUGCAUUCGAAACUGCCUGGCUAGAGUCCCGGAGAGGAUGGCGGAAUUCCCGGUGUAGGGGUGAAAUCCGUAGAUAUCGGGAGGAACACCAGUGGCGAAGGCGGCCAUCUGGACGGUGACUGACGCUGAGACGCGAAAGCGUGGGGAGCAAACAGG